rnacentral:rRNA from 1 species
UACGUAGGUGGCAAGCGUUGUCCGGAUUUACUGGGCGUAAAGGGCGUGCAGGCGGUUUGUUAAGUUCAGGGUGAAAGCUCCCGGCUCAACUGGGAGAGGUCCUUGGAUACUGGCAGACUUGAGGAGGGUAGAGGAGAGUGGAAUUCCCGGUGUAGUGGUGAUAUGCGUAGAUAUCGGGAGGAACACCAGUGGCGAAAGCGGCUCACUGGAUCUCUUCUGACGCUGAGGCACGAAAGCUAGGGUAGCGAACGGG